rnacentral:rRNA from 1 species
UACGUAGGCGGCUUGGUAUGUCGGAUGUGAAAGCCCGGGGCUCAACCCCGGAAGUGCAUCCGAAACUGCCGAGCUAGAGUACAGGAUGGGAGAGCGGAAUUCCUGGUGUAGAGGUGAAAUUCGUAGAUAUCAGGAGGAACACCGGUGGCGAAGGCGACUUCCUGGACCAAUACUGACGCUGAGGUGCGAAGGCGUGGGUAGCAAACAGGAUUAGAUACCCUGGUAGUCC